rnacentral:rRNA from 1 species
UACGUAGGGCGCGAGCGUUGUCCGGAAUUAUUGGGCGUAAAGAGCUCGUAGGCGGCCGGUUGCGUCUGCUGUGAAAUCCCGGGGCUUAACCCCGGGCGUGCAGUGGAUACGGGCCGGCUGGAGGCAGGCAGGGGAGAAUGGAAUUCCUGGUGUAGCGGUGAAAUGCGCAGAUAUCAGGAAGAACACCAAUGGCGAAGGCAGCUCUCUGGGACGGUACUGACGCUGAGACGCGAAAGCGUGGGGAGCGAACAGG